GAGUUGAGUCGUUCGUUGCUGGGGAGGGGAGGGGAGGGGAAGGGAGAAGGGGGCUUCCAUGACGGUCGAGAACGAGAGCCAUCGACACCACCACCAACUCUUGCCGCCUCUGCAACCUCAAAGACGCAUCCCUUCGUCCACGUGCGACCUGCACCCGGGCGAGACGGUCACCGGCUUCUGCGCCUCCUGCCUCCGCGAGCGCCUCGCGGGGCUCGAGGCACCUGCCGCAGCCUCCGGCCGUAGGUCCACCUCUGCCCUUCGAUCCGUCUUCUCCAUGGUCACCGUCGGCGCGGGCCCUGCCGCCGGGCCGUCCUCCCUCCGCCGCUCCAAGUCCUUCUCGUUCAGCCGUGGCGGCGACGUCUUCUCGGCGCAGCGGCCCCGCGCAUCCGCCUUGGAACCCCAGCGCAGGUCCUGCGACGUCCGCGGCCGCAGCACCCUUUGGUCCCUCUUCCAUCAGGACGACCGGGACAGGGUGGGUCAGAACCCUUCCAUCCCACCCUUCUCCUCCUCCUCCUCCUCUUCCUCCACCUCAACCUCCUCCGCGGCGGCGGCGGCGACGGCGCCGUCCACGAGCGGAGCGAUCGAGGUGGACUGCCGGAACCAAGGGCUUCCGGGCCCCUCCCUCGCUCCUCCAGUUUCCGGAACAUGCGAAGAGUAUGAGAUCGGCCAUGAGAUCAGGCCCAUUGGAACCUCGGGGGAGAUAAAUGAGGAAGGAAAGGGAGCAGCGGAGGAGGAGAUGGAGCUGAAGCCGAUGAAGGACCACAUAAAUCUCGACUCCGAGCAGCAGCAGCAACAUCAGGCGAAGAAGCCACCGCAAAAGGACUUCAAGGAGAUCGCCAGCAGCGUCUGGCUCGCCGCCUCCGUCUUCAGCAAAAAGCUCCAGAAAUGGCGGAGAAGACAGAAGCCAAAGAACCAAGGUGGCGAAGCGACAAUGCCGGCGGAGGAACCCCCUAAAACGUCGCGGCGGUUCCACGACACGCAGUCGGAAGUCGCCAUGGACUGCUCCGGCCGAAGAUCCUGCGACACCGACCCCCGCUUCUCUCUGGACGCCGCCCGGAUGUCCAUCGACGACCCCAGGUUCUCCUGGGACGAGCCGAGGGCCUCAUGGGACGGCUACCUGAUCGGAGGCCGAUCAGUGUUCCCUCGUCUCCCUCCCAUUCUCUCCGUCGUCGAGGACGCCCCUGCCCCGGCAGUCCAGCGGUCGGACUACCUUAUCCCCGUCGAGGCAGAUGCCGCCAUCCCAGGCGGGUCGGCACAGACCCGGGACUACUACUUGGAUUCAUCCAGCCAGCGCCGGCGAAGCCUUGACCGAUCGAGCUCCAUCAGGGAGCAGCCUGUCGAGAUCAGUGAGCCAAAGCCGGUCUCCAACAGCAGAGUAUCCCCUGCAGGCGGCAUGGACUUCUUCCCCUUCCACCAUGGUGCCUCACUUGAGCGGGAGGUAAAAGAUUGGAGCUCAAAUUCCCUGAGAGAUGAUUACUCCGGCAGUUUUGAGUCAGCUUUUAGGGACCUUAACAAAGGUGCUUCCGCGAAGAAGUCAAGCAGGUGGAGCAAAGCAUGGAACAUUUGGGGGCUUCUUCAGCGAAGAAAUAGUAGCAGAGGAGAAGCCAAUAUGGUUGACAGAUCCUUGUCGGAGUCAUGGCCGGAGCUGCGGUGCAAGAGCACCAAUGGCAGGAUUCUAAGGAGUAACAGCAGUGUAAGCUCGAGGGUCUCUUCUCAUGCCAAUGCUGGGUAUGGGGUGAUGAGAACGAGCAGCAUGAGGUCCAGUGGGAAUGAUAAGAAGAAGAGUAGAGAUGAACCCGUUCUGGAGAGGAAUAGAAGUGCUAGAUAUUCUCCAAACCAUAUUGAGAACGGUAUGCUGCGGUUUUACUUGACACCAAAGCGAAAUGCACGGAGGAAUGGAGUUUCAGCUAGCCGAAGGCAGAUGAUUCCUUCGCCUUACCUUGCAAGAAGCAUGCUAGGACUGUAUUGAUCUGACUGUUGAACUCUAUCAGCUGGAAAGGAGCCAAUUUGAAGAUUGAAGACUGCAGCACACUUCAGAAGGUCGAACCUACUAAAAGGGAUCGAAGUGGGAUGAUAUCUAAGAAGAUAGGAUUCAUCAGCUGGGAUUGUACUCUUGCCUUGUUUGUUCAUGAACCUCCACUGCCAAGUUAUUAGAUUUUGUUUGGGACAAAUUUGAAGUCAGCUUGAUGGUGAACACUAGUAACAUAUGCAUGACUAGGGAUUGGGAGGGUCAAGAGCUGAAGCUGGUUUGUGAAAAGUGUCAAAUGAUGCUGUGCACUCUACUAGGAGACCACUAUGGGGAGUUCAUCAAUUGAUUGUUCGGAUAAGAGGUUUUAGAGUGACAGCAUUCCUUGUAGUCAGUAGAUGAGUGUCAAGGUUUUUUAGUUUCUAGUGGAAUUAAAGUUCUA